GAUGAACGCUGGCGGCGUGCCUAAUACAUGCAAGUCGAGCGAACAGACGAGGAGCUUGCUCCUCUGACGUUAGCGGCGGACGGGUGAGUAACACGUGGAUAACCUACCUAUAAGACUGGGAUAACUUCGGGAAACCGGAGCUAAUACCGGAUAAUAUAUUGAACCGCAUGGUUCAAUAGUGAAAGACGGUUUUGCUGUCACUUAUAGAUGGAUCCGCGCCGCAUUAGCUAGUUGGUAAGGUAACGGCUUACCAAGGCAACGAUGCGUAGCCGACCCGAGAGGGUGAUCGGCCACACUGGAACUGAGACACGGUCCAGACUCCUACGGGAGGCAGCAGUAGGGAAUCGUUCGCAAUGGGCGAAAGCCUGACGGAGCAACGCCGCGUGAGUGAUGAAGGUCUUCGGAUCGUAAAACUCUGUUAUUAGGGAAGAACAAAUGUGUAAGUAACUAUGCACGUCUUGACGGUACCUAAUCAGAAAGCCACGGCUAACUAC
rnacentral:rRNA from 1 species